rnacentral:rRNA from 1 species
UGAGCUUGGAGAGUUUGAUCCUGGCUCAGGAUGAACGCUAGCGGCGUGCCUUAUGCAUGCAAGUCGAACGGUCUUAAGCAAUUAAGAUAGUGGCGAACGGGUGAGUAACGCGUAAGUAACCUACCUCUAAGUGGGGGAUAGCUUCGGGAAACUGAAGGUAAUACCGCAUGUGGUGGGCCGACAUAUGUUGGUUCACUAAAGCCGUAAGGCGCUUGGUGAGGGGCUUGCGUCCGAUUAGCUAGUUGGUGGGGUAAUGGCCUACCAAGGCUUCGAUCGGUAGCUGGUCUGAGAGGAUGAUCAGCCACACUGGGACUGAGACACGGCCCAGACUCCUACGGGAGGCAGCAGCAAGGAAUCUUGGGCAAUGGGCGAAAGCCUGACCCAGCAACGCCGCGUGAGGGAUGAAGGCUUUCGGGUUGUAAACCUCUUUUCAUAGGGAAGAAUAAUGACGGUACCUGUGGAAUAAGCUUCGGCUAACUACGUGCCAGCAGCCGCGGUAAUACGUAGGAAGCAAGCGUUAUCCGGAUUUAUUGGGCGUAAAGUGAGCGUAGGUGGUCUUUCAAGUUGGAUGUGAAAUUUCCCGGCUUAACCGGGACGAGUCAUUCAAUACUGUUGGACUAGAGUACAGCAGGAGAAAACGGAAUUCCCGGUGUAGUGGUAAAAUGCGUAGAUAUCGGGAGGAACACCAGAGGCGAAGGCGGUUUUCUAGGUUGUCACUGACACUGAGGCUCGAAAGCGUGGGGAGCGAACAGAAUUAGAUACUCUGGUAGUCCACGCCUUAAACUAUGGACACUAGGUAUAGGGAGUAUCGACCCUCUCUGUGCCGAAGCUAACGCUUUAAGUGUCCCGCCUGGGGAGUACGGUCGCAAGGCUAAAACUCAAAGGAAUUGACGGGGGCCCGCACAAGCAGCGGAGCGUGUGGUUUAAUUCGAUGCUACACGAAGAACCUUACCAAGAUUUGACAUGCAUGUAGUAGUGAACUGAAAGGGGAACGACCUGUUAAGUCAGGAACUUGCACAGGUGCUGCAUGGCUGUCGUCAGCUCGUGCCGUGAGGUGUUUGGUUAAGUCCUGCAACGAGCGCAACCCUUGUUGCUAGUUAAAUUUUCUAGCGAGACUGCCCCGCGAAACGGGGAGGAAGGUGGGGAUGACGUCAAGUCAGCAUGGCCUUUAUAUCUUGGGCUACACACACGCUACAAUGGACAGAACAAUAGGUUGCAACAGUGCGAACUGGAGCUAAUCCCCAAAGCUGUCCUCAGUUCGGAUUGCAGGCUGAAACCCGCCUGCAUGAAGUUGGAGUUGCUAGUAACCGCAUAUCAGCAUGGUGCGGUGAAUACGUUCUCGGGCCUUGUACACACCGCCCGUCACGUCAUGAAAGCCGGUAACACUUGAAGUCGAUGUGCCAACCGCAAGGAGGCAGUCGCCGAGGGUGGGACUGGUAAUUGGGACGAAGUCGUAACAAGGUAGCCGUAGCGGAAGCUGCGGCUGGAUCACCUCCUUUCUAAGGAUAA